CCUACGGGAGGCUGCAGUGAGGAAUAUUGGUCAAUGGACGAGAGUCUGAACCAGCCAAGCCGCGUGAAUGAUGACUGCCCUCUGGUUUGUAAACUUCUUUGAUAUGGGAAUAAAACAGGGUAUGCAUACCCUCGUGUAUUUACCUUAUGAAUAAGGAUCGGCUAACUCCGUGCCAGCAGCCGCGGUAAUACGGAGGGUCCGAUCGUUACCCGGAUUGAAUGGGUUUAAAGGGAGCGUAGGUGGGUGGUUAAGUCAGUUGUGAAAGUUUGCGGCUCAACCGUAAAAGUGCAGUUGAAACUGGCAGUCUUGAGUACAGUAGAGGUGGGCGGAAUGCGUGGUGUAGCGGUGAAAUGCUUAGAUAUCACGAAGAACUCCGAUUGCGAAGGCAGCUCACUGGACUGCAACUGACACUGAUGCUCGAAAGUGUGGGUAUCAAACAGGAUUAGAUACCCUUGUAGUC
rnacentral:rRNA from 1 species